rnacentral:rRNA from 1 species
UGGUCAAGCUACUAAGGGCAUAUGAUGGAUGCCUUGGCACCAACAGGCGAUGAAGGACGUGGUAAGCUGCGAUAAGCUUCGGGGAGCGGCACGCGCGCUUUGAUCCGGAGAUUUCCGAAUGGGGCAACCCAUCCUCUGUCAUGAGAGGAUAUCCCAUACUGAAUACAUAGGUAUGGGAAGCAAUACCCAGGGAAGUGAAACAUCUCAGUACCUGGAGGAGUAGAAAUCAACCGAGAUUCCGCAAGUAGUGGCGAGCGAACGCGGAACAGCCUAAACCGGCGGGCUUGCCUGCCGGGGUUGCGGGACCUGCAUAACGGUACGCUAGAAGCUAGCAGAAACUUCUGGAAAGCUGUGGCAUAGAAGGUGAAACCCCUGUACGCGAAAGCGGACGGCGGCUAAGCAGGUAUCCCAAGUAGGGCGGAACACGUGAAACUCCGUCUGAAUCCGGGGGGACCGCCCUCCAAGGCUAAAUACUCGUUGGUGACCGAUAGUGAACCAGUACCGUGAGGGAAAGGUGAAAAGAACCCCUGUUCGGGGAGUGAAAUAGAACCUGAAAUCAUAUGUCUACAAACUGUAGGAGCCCUUCGGGGCGACUGCAUGCCUUUUGCAUAAUGAGCCUGCGAGUUACUUUCUGCAGCAAGGUUAAGCCAAUGGCGGAGCCGAAGCGAAAGCGAGUGUGAAUAGCGCGUCUAGUUGUAGGGAGUAGACCCGAAACCAAGUGAUCUAUCCAUGGCCAGGCUGAAGCCUCUGUAACAGGAGGUGGAGGGCCGAACCAGUACGUGUUGAAAAACGUUUGGAUGAGCUGUGGAUAGGGGUGAAAGGCCAAUCAAACUUGGUGAUAGCUGGUUCUCUCCGAAAUAGCUUUAGGGCUAGCCU